UCGCUGUCUGCCGCGUGGCUGAAAGUCAUGGCUGGUCCCGUCGGUGUUGAGCAUGGUCAACAGCCUCAGGCAUUUGUCGUGAAGACUUUCCUUGGCAUCUGCAGAUACGGUGAAAAGCAGAGUUCCAGGUUGAAGGUUCACAGUAAUGGAUGGAGCUCUAUCAUGAGUUAGAAUGGGUGCAGGCAGGGCCCGAGUGGUCGCCAGAAAUGAGAAAGCAGAGUUGGUCCCAUCACAUGCAUUCAACGCCUGCUUUAUUCUGCAGUUAGAAUGUGAGACUACUUGUUGACGUACAAGCCAGCUAUGAUUAAAGGUGUUGGCCGUGGUCUUGAAAACAGUCAUGUGAAAAUUCAUCACCUGAAGAUGUUGAGUGUAAGGAUCUUCAUGAUGAAAUUUCUGUAAAUGGUAUAGUCAGCCUCAGUUUCCAAGGCUGGAAAAGGAUCCUCUAGUAGCCACAUUGUGGACGCUGCCCUGAACCAGGACCUGACCUGGACCCAAAGUACCACGUCUUUAAUGGAUGUUAGCUCCCAGCGAUGCCAGAUGGGAUCGGCACAGCCCUGCCUCUGUGGCUAAUUGUUCCUCUAAAGUAAUUGCCAUGCGUUCUCUGGGCUUCAUCUUUAAAGGAAUGAAGUGACUAAGAUUAUUCUGGAAAACCUUUUGGCAGUUAGUGAAAUUAGAAUACAACCAAGAACGUUUUCAGACCUCCACUACGGAUGACCUGGGUGUACUCUCACAAAUCGAUGGGACAAGGAUUAUAAACUGAAGUUAACGUGAUUCUACUCUGUCGGAGGACCUAAGGGGAAACUGAUGAGUUUCAGAGAGUGAUGCUUAACCCUGGUACACAGGAUGCUAGCCUGAGUUUUCUCUUUUUACUUAUCCACUAAAUUGAUUUUCUGAUCUGCUAAUGGGUUGCCACCCACAAACACUGCUUUAGCACUUUCACUUCAAAUCAAUAAAGGAUUGAUGAGAGUUCUCCUGGUGCCUCC